rnacentral:lncRNA from 1 species
AUGGUGUCUCUCAUAUUCCCACUGGUAAAGCUUUUGGGCACUUUCAUUUCCCCAUUGGGAAGGCAUCAUGUGUCCCUCAUACUCCCAAGGGAACAGUUCGUGGACUACCACAUUUCUCCACUGGGAAGGCUCCUGCUGUCUCUCAUAUUCCCAUUCAUAGAGCUUUUGGACAGUCUCAUUUCCCCAUUGAGUAGGCUCCUCGUGUCCCUCACAUUCCCAAGGGAAGAGUUCUUGCACUCUCACAACUACCCACUGGGAAUGCUCCUGGUAUCUCUCAUAUUCCCAGGGGAGCAGUUCUUGCACUCUCACAUCUCCCCACUGGGAAUGCUCCUGGUAUCUCUCAUAUUCCCAAGGGAAGAGUUCUUGCACUCUCACAUCUCCCCACUGGGAAGGCUCCUGGUAUCUCUCAUUUCCCCAUUGGGAAGGCUGCUGAAAUCUUUCAUAUUCCCACUGCUCCAGCUCUUGGACAUUCUCCUUUUCCCACUGGGGCAGGCCCUGGCCCAGGUAGGGUUCCCACUCUCUCUCCUCCCUGGCCAAGUCCCACCCCACAGUCUGUGGCCCUGGCAGCUCUGUCCCCCCUACUGCCCUCUCACACUGCUCCCAGAGGGCUUCCAGCCACCCAGGGCAGGGGCUGGGGGGGGAAUAGGGGCUGGGGGGGCAGCAGGGGCUGUGUGGGGCAGGGCCCUGGCUCUGUGCCCCGGCUGUGGGGGAAGGAGACACCAGCCCAGCCCUGGCCCCCAGGCCGCUGCCUCCAGCCCCAUCCCAGCUCCCUCUGUCCCCUCUCUCUCCGGGGCUGGCCGUCACCUGGGGCCUCAGGCACAGGCCCGGCUGCUCCGUGGCAGGGGGGGAGUUGGGGUUCACCUCCUCCGCGCGCGUCUCCAUCGUGCUCUGCUGCUGAGGCUCUCAGGGAGCUGCUCUCUCCUGACAGAACGGCUCUCUGGGACCGGGCACCCAGGCCUCUGUGCCCCUUAUAUACCCCUCUGGCAGGGCGGGGCUCUGCCAUGUCACAAAGGCCUCUGGGCACCAUCAUGUCCUGCAUCAGCGCCUGUGUCACAAAGGGCCACACCCGACAUCCCUUCCACAGCCGACCCCACUGGAACUGGCACCGAGCAGCCCCAGACUUGGGCACUUGGAGCCCCUGAUGAGGGGGACUUUGCUUAG